GAAAAUGAUGUGUUUAAUAAUUAUAUGAAAUAAAUUUCUCAAUAAAGACAGAGGAGAGAUGGCUCGAUACUUAAGAGCACUUGGUGCCCUUGCAGAAGACUCCAGCUCCAGUGACACCUCCUCCUGGCCCCCACAGUCACCCACACGCAUGUGGUGUACGCUCACACAGAAGACAUAAGUAGGAAAUAAGAAGAGAAGUGCUUACAUGUCUCAAUAAAAGCAUAAUACACUCCCAAGGCGCGCACGCAUGCACGCAGGCCCAGGUGUCCUCACCCUGACUCCUGGGUGUCUCAGGCCCGUGCAUGUCCUCUUUGGGGAGUCAGUGAGUCACCAUUUCGUUUCGUGUUCAGUUGCCAGUUUCUGUCUUCCCUUUCUGCCUCAGGCGCCCUGUGAAGGCGGGGUACACAGUGACUCCCCGAGAGUAGCCACACCCAGCAUGCCCGGGGCACCCCGGUCUUCCUCAGAGUCACACUCAUGGUACCCGGAGUUUCUCUCCACACCUCCCUCACCUAGUAUCGCUGAACAUCCUCACACACCUUCAGCUGGGAGCUGGGUGGCUGGGCUCCCCAGAACACCUGACGGGUCUUCCUGACCCUCCCUUCUACAACAGGUGACAAACACUGUUUUGUUUUGUUUUGUUUUGUUUUGUUU
rnacentral:lncRNA from 1 species